GACCCCGAUUUGGACCAACUUGAAAACUGGGCCCAUAAUCAAAAAUCUAAAUACAUGUUUACAUUCAGCAUAUCAAAGAACCCUAAGAAUUCAAUUUUUGUUAAAAUCAAACUAAGUUUAAUUUUGGACCCUUUGGACCUUAAUGUAGACCAAUUUGAAAACGGAACCAAAAAUUAAGAAUCUAAAUACACGGUUAGAUUCAGCAUAUCAAAGAACCCCAAUAAUUCAAUUUUUGAUGAAAUCAAACAAAGUUUAAUUUUGGACCCUUUGGACCUCAAUGUGGACCAAAUUAAAAACGGGGCCAAAAAACCCCAUUGAAAUUGGUCAAGAAAUAAGCAAUUUAUACGAAGUAUCUUUUUUUGCACAAUACUGUGCAAUUGAAUAUUUCUUGCUAUUGCGCAAUACUGUACAAUUGACAAUUUCUUGCUAUUGCGCAAUAUUGUGCUAUUGGAUUUUCUUACUAUUGCGCAAUACUGUGCAAUUGAAGAUUUCUUGCUAUUGCGCAAUACUGUGCAAUUGAAGAUUUCUUGCUAUUGUGCAAUACUGUGCAGUUGAAAAUUUCUUGCUAUUGCACAAUACUUAUUAUAUAAUAAUUUACACAUCCUGUUUGGUGUGUAUCUCCUACCAUAUCAUUAUUAUUUGCUUUUAAAUAUAAAUCAGAAAUAACCAACUUAAAAUGGAAAAUUUUAAAAGAAAAAAAAAAAAAAAAAAAGAAAAACUAGAGGCUCUCAAGAGCCUGUGUCGCUCACCUGAUUCUACUUUGGUUUUGGAAAUCAUGUAAAAAUAGAUUAAAAUCAUAACAGAUACCCUAAUAAUGAGUGAGGCCAAAUUUGGUUCAAUAUUGGUCCUGUAAUUUAAUAAAAAAAUCCUGGUGGCCAUCUUGAACAGUAAAUCGGCAACAAAGUAGCAACACUUAAUCAGCACCUCAUAAGAAACAUUUAUGCCAUGUUUUGGUUUCAUUCCAUUCAGUGCACCUCUAGAAGAAGCAUUUGUACGUAUUUCCCAUAGGGUCUUAUGUUUAAGGAAGUCCCCCCAUUGGCGGCCAUCAUGGAUGAAGGAUCAGCUUCAAAGUAACAAAACUUAGUCAGCACCUCAUAAGGAACAUUCAUGCCAUGUUUGGUUUCAAUCCAUUCAGUAUGUGGUUCUCUAAAAGAAGACAUUUGUAUGUAUUGUCCAUAGGGUCCUUUGUUAAACAUUGUCCCCAUCUGGCGGCCAUCUUAGAUUAUGGAUCGGCUUCAUAGUAACAACACUUGGUCAGCACCUCAUAAGGAACAUUCAUGCCAUGUUUGGUUUCAUUCCAUUCAGUGGUUCUCUAAAAGAAGACAUUUGUAUGUAUUUCUCAUAGGGUCCUAUGUUACACUAAGUCCCCCGCUGGCUGCCAUCUUGGACGAUGGAUCAGCUUCAAAGUAACAACACUUGGUCAGCACCUCAUAAGGAACAUUCUUGCCAUGUUUGGUUUCAUUCCAUUCAGUGGUUCUCUAAAAGAAGACGUUUGUAUGUAUUUCCCAUAGGGUCCCAUGUUAAACUAAGUCCCCCGCUGGCGGCCAUCUUGGAUUAUGGAUCAGCUUCAAAGUAACAACACUCGGUCAGCACCUCAUAAGGAACAUUCAUGCCAUGUUUGGUUUCAUUCCAUUCAGUGGUUCUCUAAAAGAAGACAUUUGUAUGUAUUUCCCAUAGGGUCCAAUGUUAAACUAAGUCCCCCGCUGGCAGCCAUCUUGGAUUAUGGAUCGGCUUCAAAGUAACAACACUCGGUCAGCACCUCAUAAGAAACAUUCAUGUCAUGUUUGGUUUCAUUCCAUUCAGUGGUUCUCUAAAAGAAGACAUUUGUAUGUAUUUCCCAUAGGGUCAAAUGUUAAACUAAGUCCCCUGCUGGUGGCCAUCUUGGAUUAUGGAUCAGCUUCAUAGUAACAACACUUGGUCAGCACCUCAUAAGGAACAUUCAUGCCAUGUUUGGUUUCAUUCCAUUCAGUGGUUCUCUAAAAGAAGACAUUUGUAUGUAUUUCCCAUAGGGUCGUAUGUUAAACUAAGUCCCCCGCUGGCGGCCAUCUUGGAUUAUGGAUCGGCUUCAAAGUAACAACACUCGGUCAGCACCUCAUAAGAAACAUUCAUGCCAUGUUUGGUUUCAUUCCAUUCAGUGGUUCUCUAAAAGAAGACAUUUGUAUGUAUUUCCCAUAGGGUCCAAUGUUAAACUAAGUCCCCUGCUGGUGGCCAUCUUGGAUUAUGGAUCAGCUUCAUAGUAACAACACUUGGUCAGCACCUCAUAAGGAACAUUCAUGCCAUGUUUGGUUUCAUUCCAUUCAGUGGUUCUCUAAAAGAAGACAUUUGUAUGUAUUUCCCAUAGGGUCCCAUGUUAAACUAAGUCCCCCGCUGGCGGCCAUCUUGGAUUAUGGAUCAGCUUCAAAGUAACAACACUCGGUCAGCACCUCAUAAGGAACAUUCAUGCCAUGUUUGGUUUCAUUCCAUUCAGUGGUUCUCUAAAAGAAGACAUUUGUAUGUAUUUCCCAUAGGGUCCUAUGUUAAACUAAGUCUUCCGCUGGCGGCCAUCUUGGAUUAUGGAUCGGCUUCAAAGUAACAACACUCGGUCAGCACCUCAUAAGAAACAUUCAUGCCAUGUUUGGUUUCAUUCUAUUCAGUGGUUCUCUAAAAGAAGACAUUUGUAUGUAUUUCCCAUAGGGUCCUAUGUUAAACUAAGUCCCCCGCUGGCGGCCAUCUUGGAUGAUGGAUCCGCUACAAAGUAACAACACUUGGUCAGCACCUCAUAAGGAACAUUCAUGCCAUGUUUGGUUUCAUUCCAUUCAGUGGUUCUCUAGAAGAAGUUCAAAAUGUAAAAAGUUUACGCCGACGACGGACGACGCCGGACGACGGACGACAAGUGAUGAGAAAAGCUCACUUGGCCCUUCGGGCCAGGUGAGCUAAAAAGGAAAAAAAUAAAA